rnacentral:rRNA from 1 species
GAUGAACGCUGGCGGCGUGCCUAAUACAUGCAAGUCGAGCGGUAAGGCUCUGCACUCAGUAUUUGACCGGGGAUUUAUCCCUACGCCAAUGCGAAGGACACUCUAGGCUAGAGUGGUCGGAGCAGCGGUAAAAGGUCGAAUAAUGUAGUGUAGAGUACACGAGCGGCGGACGGCUGAGUAACGCGUAGGAACGUACCCCAAACGU